AUUGAACGCUGUCGUCAGGCCUAACACAUGCGAGUCGAGCGGAGCGGCGGACGGGUGAGUAAUGCCUAGGAAUCUGCAUGGUAGUGGGGGAUAACGUCCGGAAACGGGCGCUAAUACCGCAUACUAUCAGAUGAGCCUAGGUCGGAUUAGCUAGUUGGUGGGGUAAAGGCCUACCAAGGCGACGAUCCGUACCUGGGCUGAGAGGAUGAUCAGUCACACUGGAACUGAGACACGGUCAAUACUACUACGGGAGGCAGCAGUGGGGAAUAUUGGACAAAGGGCGAAAGACUGAUCAAGCCAUGCCGCGUGUGUGAAGAAGGUCUUCGGAUUAUAAAGCACUUUAAGUUGGGAGGCGUUACCAACAGAAUAAGCACCGGCUAACUUCAUGCCAGCAGCCGCGGUAAUUC
rnacentral:rRNA from 1 species